AGUAUGUUUUAAAGCCUUUGCAAAACAUCUGCAAGGGGAAAAGCUUUGAACUUUGUCUACAAGGGGGAAAAUGUUAGAACUUCUAAAGAAAUUGAAGAGUCCACAGUAAGAUGAAAAAGUAUUCAGAAGGAUGAAAUAUUACCCACAUAAGUUCAAUCAUACUAAAUUUUCCCUUGUGAUCUACAAUUUUUCUGAAGGAACAUGGGUAGAAUCUUUAAAGAUUCAGUGGUGCUCAGUAUGUCAAAACACUGGAGCAGCUGUAAGAUCAGAACACAAAGGCCAACAAGCAAAGAUGCAGCACCCGGGAAUGUAAUUAAGGUAAAAUAAAAGGUGGUUAUAUGGGUUCCAUGGUAGUUGCUAUUUAAAUAAUCCUAACUGAACUGCACCACUGUACAAAAAAAUAAAUAAAUAAAAAAAAAUUAAUCAAGUCUUGCAGGUUUGUGCUUAUGCAACUUGAAAACAAAAUCUAUCAGUUGAGCCAGGUCCUUGGCACUACUCCAAUAGCUCAAAACAGGUCUAGAGCCAGCUUAACUGCCCCAGCCAUAAGUAUUUUCACUUCUCCAGAAACAGCUCUGCCAGGCAUAGGCCUGCUGAGACAGGGUACUCUUCCCUGCUUCUGAACUCUGACUCCCAGAACAUAGAAACAAAAGGCAUGGGAAGCAAGGACCUGCUCUGCAGUGUAGCUCUGCCACUAGAAUGCUCCCCCUGGGCUAAGAACAGCUGAUUAAUUCUUUAAAUAACAAAACAAACUCCAAGAUAAUUAAACAAAAUGUUUGUCAUAUCUUUCUUCUCCUAUGCUCCAUUUUGCUUUGUUUUGUUUUAUUGUUUUUGUUUGUGUUUUUUAAUUCUUCAUCUUUGGAGAUAGGAUAGAAUAAGCAUUAAGAAACUAUUUUAUGUCGGCUGAUAGGGUUUGGGCAUGUUUGCUUUUCCUUGGUCUUUAGUGAAUCAUCCAGGGUAUCAUUUUAGAAUUCCUGUUGCUUGUUUUAUACAAACAUGCUCUCAAGCUUCCGUCUGAUGAGAAAGUAAUGACAAUUUGUAGAGUAAUGAAAAGGUGUCAACAUUUUACAAUGUUGAAAAUUGUUAAUAAUCAAUAUCAAAAAGUUUUAAUCUGUUGACAGCCAUCUACUUGAUUUAUACGUCUGGCUGCCCUACUGUCUCUUCUUUCAGGCUAACUGGAGUCUGCUCAGAGCUAUGUGUCUUUGUACAGUGGUUACUCUGGAAACAUGGAGGAAGCCGCUCUCCAAAGCAAGGGCUUGAGCUGAAGGCCUGAGCAAGAAGUAGUCCAGGCAGUACAUGUGAUUUUCCCAGGUGCAUGAAACCCUAGGUCAAAGAAAGAUCUUCCCCUGUAUCCUAUUUUGGAAGGUUAGGUAGCAACAGGGAUGAACACAUGGCAACCAAAAAAUUAAAAGGCAACACAGCUCUGAAGAGGAGUUUUUAGCCAUCAAUUUGAUUGUAUGGACUUCAUGAUGGGUUUCAUUGGACUACAUCUAAAGCUCCAACCCAGAAACAGUGAAAAUGUGCGGGCUGCAGCCACACUCAGGCACAGCUCCUGCUGCACCAUGGGCUGGUCCUGGCACUGACAGCUGAGAAGAGACAAGAGACAGGAGAAACCUAGGGAAGAGAGGAGGAUACAGGUGACACCAAGGAAAAGUUCAAUCACUGGCCAAACACCAGGCAAUUUAGCAGCAGCAGAACUAAGAACAAGGACUCAACAUGCUGAAUAUACUCUGGCAGCUUCCUCAAGGUGAACAAGCAAAACCUUAGUUGAAGCAAGACACACACCCUUGGGAGGAUUUCAGCUGACAUCUGAGGUCUUCUGAGCCUGCACAGGGAGGACUGAUUUGCUCCUUUUCACACAAGGUUUUACAAACUACAUCACAAUUUACCUUUGCUGCCCUUGUGUGUGGGAAUGUGUAACAGGACUGAAAGGGGCCAGCUGGAAAAGAGACAGUUGCUACCUUCUUGAUACACUAGUUGUUUCUAGCUCUUCAGUAGGUGAGUUAGGCAGCUCAUAACAUCCCAAAGAAUGGCCCUGUGAUGUCUGGCCCUAUGAAGUUAAGAAGAGGCUUCUAAAAGGACAGAGAAGAUAUAUCUCUUAAUAUGAGUUUGAUAAAACCCAACUGAAUUACCACCACCUCUUCUCAGUGAACGUGUCAGUGUUUGAACUGAGGACCCAUCAAGGGCAGGAGAGGAAAUCACACACUUCAGCAGCUUGAACUCACCUCUUGAGUUUCUCCUGAUGUCUAAAAAAGACAGAGGGAGCUUCCCUUUUGCACCCUCUGUUGCAUAUGAGCUCCAGAUGCGUACAUGCUAUUUUCAGUCAGAGGAUACAGAUGUCAUUAAAUAUGCUGGUGAUCUGCUUCAGUCUAUUGAAAUUUUUUUAAUCUGAGAUCAACACCCAAAAAAAGUAUUUGAAGACUCAGCAUGAAGAGGGGAAACAACUGCAAUGAAAGUUGUAGUUCCCAUAUUACCAAAACAAGGUGUAGGGCACAGAUCAUACCCAGUACCAGUCCUGACAACUGUUCAGGAGAUCUUUCAGGACCUCUGGAAAAAGUAAAAAACAUUCCAACAUGGUGUUUUCUACUCACAUGGUAGUAGGGUUAUGAAGUAGCUUUUCAUGACCCAUUCAGUUUUCCUUUUAUAGCAGCCUAUUUAUAUACUCCAAUUCAGUCACAGCUUCCACUGUACUGAUUACUAGAGUGCUCAUUUCCUCAUUUUGAACUGCGCAUGCAUUUCUUCAUUUUUAUUCACUCCUUAUUAGAUCUGUUAGCCUUGCAUUACCCCUCCAUGGUGUUGCUUAGCCUCUCCUAGGCUUCUUUUCUAGGGGCACUUGUCUCACUGACAACCAAGUAACCAAUAAAAUAAAUGUUUUAAGAAAUGCUUUCCAUUUUUUACAUUUUUAAACACACGAAGAAUAGAUUCAAUACAGUAUUUGAGCAGUGGUUCAGCAUCACUCAA